ACAUUUUCUCAGUCUUCAUCUUCCAUCCCUGCCUUAAGCAUUUCAGUCUAUCCAGCCAAUCUCUCUCUGUCUUUCUCUCUCUCGCUCAUACACACAUGCUCAUAUAUACACUCAUACUCUCAUUCAUCUUAUAUUUCAUAGUUCAAAAUAAACAUCAAAAUUAAGGCUGUUCCCGUGACAAGAAAGUAUAUACAAAGAAGUGAGAGGCUGAUUCAUAAAACCGCCCGCAUUCAGGGCUCUUUGGAACCAUCCUCCUCUUUACAGGGCUGAGGGCUGCAAUAAAUAGAGCUCAUCAGAGACUCAGACAUACUCAGAAUAAGAAGUGCACACAUUUAAUAGAGCAGCUGUGUUGGUCUGCGUUCCUGGAGGGGUGUGGGAGGAGACUGGCAUCCAUUCGCUGCUCUGGAAAGGCUGUGCCAACAGCACCAAAAGGACCAAGGAAGUACCCGGUGCCGUGGGCGGCACCCACCAGGCAUGAGGUCCACCAACUGGACCAGUCUCCUCGCCC
rnacentral:lncRNA from 1 species